rnacentral:lncRNA from 1 species
GAACCAUCUGAAAGUUCAGUUACAUGUGGUAACUGAAUUGAAAAGUCUCAAAGAAUGGAGGAUGGAGCCGUCGGGUCUUCUCUGUUUCUCCGGCCUCCGUUGGCGCUUCAGGGUUACUCCACUGGGAGUCAACUAUAUAAAAAUAUAGAGGCUGUUUCUAAGCGGUCAUGAACUGAGCCACUUGGCUACACCCUUCUGCCAUGAUGUUUCUGACUUGGAUCCUGCUGAGCAUGGGCUAAAUUCCUUUAAAAGGUGAGCCAAAUUAAACUUCCUUCGGUUGUAGGUGUAUAUU